rnacentral:rRNA from 1 species
GACGAACCGUGCGAACGUUAUUCGGAAUCACUGGGCUUAAAGCGCGUGUAGGCGGGAGGGCACGUCCGUCGCUGAAAUCCCCCGGCUCAACCGGGGAACGGGCGCGGAUACGACCUUCCUGGAGGGGCGUAGGGGGACCUGGAACUUCCGGUGGAGCGGUGAAAUGCGUAGAGAUCGGGAGGAACACCAGAGGCGAAGGCGGCUAGCUGGACAGUUACUGACACUCAACUACGAAAGCGUGGGGAGCAAACAGG